GAAUCUUCCACAAUUGGCGAAAGCCCGAUGGAGCAACGCCGCGUGAGUGAAGAAGGUUUUCGGAUCGUAAAAGUCUGUUGUACGGGAAGAACAAUUACAGUAGUAACUGGCUGUACCUUGACUGUACCUGAUUAGGAAGCCACGGCUAACUAUGUGCCAGCAGCCGCGGUAAUACGUAGGGGGCAAGCGUUGUCCGGAAUUAUUGGGCGUAAAGCGAGCGCAGGCGGUACUUUAAGUCUGAAGUGAAAGCCCGCGGCUCAACCGUGGAGGGGCAUUGGAAACUGGGGGACUUGAGUGCAGAAGAGGAAAGUGGAAUUCCAAGUGUAGCGGUGAAAUGCGUAGAGAUUUGGAGGAACACCAGUGGCGAAGGCGACUUGCUGGUCGGUAACUGACGCUGAGGCGCGAAAGCGUGGGGAGCAAACA
rnacentral:rRNA from 1 species